rnacentral:rRNA from 1 species
GCAACUCGCCUACAUGAAGUCGGAAUUGCUAGUAAUCGCGGAUCAGCAUGCCGCGGUGAAUACGGUUCCCGGGCCUUGUACACACCGCCCGUCACACCAUGGGAGUCGGUAACACCCGAAGCCUGUAGUCUAACCGCAAGGAGGACGCAGUCGAAGGUGGGAUUGAUGACUGGGGUGAAGUCGUAACAAGGUACC